rnacentral:rRNA from 1 species
GAUGAACGCUGGCGGCGUGCUUAACACAUGCAAGUCGAACGGAAAGGCCCAAGCUUGCUUGGGUACUCGAGUGGCGAACGGGUGAGUAACACGUGGGUGAUCUGCCCUGCACUUCGGGAUAAGCCUGGGAAACUGGGUCUAAUGCCGGAUAGGACGAUGGUUUGGAUGCCAUUGUGGAAAGUUUUUUCGGUGUGGGAUGAGCUCGCGGCCUAUCAGCUUGUUGGUGGGGUAAUGGCCUACCAAGGCGUCGACGGGUAGCCGGCCUGAGAGGGUGUACGGCCACAUUGGGACUGAGAUACGGCCCAGACUCCUACGGGAGGCAGCAGUGGGGAAUAUUGCACAAUGGGCGCAAGCCUGAUGCAGCGACGCCGCGUGGGGGAUGACGGCCUUCGGGUUGUAAACUCCUUUCGCUAGGGACGAAGCGUUUUUGUGACGGUACCUGGAGAAGAAGCACCGGCUAACUACGUG